rnacentral:rRNA from 1 species
AUUGAACGCUGGCGGCAGGCCUAACACAUGCAAGUCGAGCGGAUGAAGGGAGCUUGCUCCUGGAUUCAGCGGCGGACGGGUGAGGAAUGCCUAGGAAUCUGCCUGGUAGUGGGGGAUAACGUCCGGAAACGGGCGCUAAUACCGCAUACGUCCUGAGGGAGAAAGUGGGGGAUCUUCGGACCUCACGCUAUCAGAUGAGCCUAGGUCGGAUUAGCUAGUUGGUGGGGUAAAGGCCUACCAAGGCGACGAUCCGUAACUGGUCUGAGAGGAUGAUCAGUCACACUGGAACUGAGACAGGGUCCAGACUCCUACGGGAGGCAGCAGUGGGGAAUAUUGGACGAUGGGCGAAAGCCUGAUCCAGCCAUGCCGCGUGUGUGAAGAAGGUCUUCGGAUUGUAAAGCACUUUAAGUUGGGAGGAAGGGCAGUAAGUUAAUACCUUGCUGUUUUGACGGUACCAACAGAAUAAGCACCGGCUAACUUCGUG